rnacentral:rRNA from 1 species
CCCUUAGAGUUUGAUCCUGGCUCAGAUUGAACGCUGGCGGCAUGCCUUACACAUGCAAGUCGAACGGCAGCACGGGGGGUAACCCCUGGUGGCGAGUGGCGAACGGGUGAGUAAUACAUCGGAACGUGUCCAGUAGCGGGGGAUAACCUCUCGAAAGAGAGGCUAAUACUGCAUACGACCUACGGGUGAAAGAGGGGGAUCGCAAGACCUCUCACUAUUGGAGCGGCCGAUGUCGGAUUAGCUAGUUGGCGGGGUAAAAGCCCACCAAGGCUACGAUCCGUAGCUGGUCUGAGAGGACGACCAGCCACACUGGAACUGAGACACGGUCCAGACUCCUACGGGAGGCAGCAGUGGGGAAUUUUGGACAAUGGGCGCAAGCCUGAUCCAGCCAUGCCGCGUGGGUGAAGAAGGCCUUCGGGUUGUAAAGCCCUUUCGGCUGGGACGAAAAGGUUCGGGUUAAUAACCCGGAUCCAUGACGGUACCAGCAGAAGAAGCACCGGCUAACUACGUGCCAGCAGCCGCGGUAAUACGUAGGGUGCAGGCGUUAAUCGGAAUUACUGGGCGUAAAGCGUGCGCAGGCGGUCUGCUAAGAGAGGUGUGAAAUCCCCGGGCUUAACCUGGGAACUGCGCUUCUAACUG